rnacentral:lncRNA from 1 species
CAGAUUCCUACUGGUCGGGAAGGGUCCGAAUAGUUCGGUAAAGCACCCCGACAGUUAGGUGCGUCCCGUAACAUUGGGGAAAACUCAGCUGAUUUUGUCUAGUCGGAUCACAAUCGUGCCUAUGUCGUGACAGAUUCUGCUGUAUCGGAUCGAAUUCCUAACAAUGUUCUGUGUAUUCGGGACGGUGUCCUGUGGAACGGGAAUGAUCUGGAGAA